GCCAUUUUCAGUGUUUAAAUUUCAUAUGUUGAUCAAUAUCGGUGUAGGUCUAGAUAAAAUACAAACAGAAAAAAUCUGACCGAACUAACGUGCUUUGCAGUCGCUACAGGCGCUGCUACAAAACCCCCUGCCACAAUCAGACUAGGGUAUUUAUACUGUCUGAUACGAUACCACAUGGAGCGAUACCACAAGGAAUAGCUGUUGCAGUUGGAGUCGAUGAUAGGGCCUUGACGCGAUAGGGCAAUGAUUUUGGGUGCACCCUCCUGUCGGGCGAUCUGGCCGUUUGAAUUAUCCCGGUUCGCUACUCUUAAAUGGUCCGAUGGCCCAAGGCGGGAGAGGAUUGCUCAAUCGCAGCCAUACCGAUGCGCCAGGUAACCGCCAAGGCAAUUUUAAAUUAAAUAUCUGCGUGCUAAAUUAAUAAAAUUCACCUAUAUUUUUUGGAAA